GGCGGGACACGUGGUAUCCUGUCUGAAUAUGGGGGGACCAUCCUCCAAGGCUAAAUACUCCUGACUGACCGAUAGUGAACCAGUACCGUGAGGGAAAGGCGAAAAGAACCCCGGCGAGGGGAGUGAAAAAGAACCUGAAACCGUGUACGUACAAGCAGUGGGAGCACCCUUUGGGGUGUGACUGCGUACCUUUUGUAUAAUGGGUCAGCGACUUAUAUUCUGUAGCAAGGUUAACCGUAUAGGGGAGCCGAAGGGAAACCGAGUCUUAAUUGGGCGUUAAGUUGCAGGGUAUAGACCCGAAACCCGGUGAUCUAGCCAUGGGCAGGUUGAAGGUUGGGUAACACUAACUGGAGGACCGAACCGACUAAUGUUGAAAAAUUAGCGGAUGACCUGUGGCUGGGGGUGAAAGGCCAAUCAAACCGGGAGAUAGCUGGUUCUCCCCGAAAGCUAUUUAGGUAGCGCCUCGUGAAUUCAUCUCCGGGGGUAGAGCACUGUUUCGGCUAGGGGGCCAUCCCGGCUUACCAACCCGAUGCAAACUGCGAAUACCGGAGAAUGUUAUCACGGGAGACACACGGCGGGUGCUAACGUCCGUCGUGAAGAGGGAAACAACCCAGACCGCCAGCUAAGGUCCCAAAGUCAUGGUUAAGUGGGAAACGAUGUGGGAAGGCCCAGACAGCCAGGAUGUUGGCUUAGAAGCAGCCAUCAUUUAAAGAAAGCGUAAUAGCUCACUGGUCGAGUCGGCCUGCGCGGAAGAUGUAACGGGGCUAAACCAUGCACCGAAGCUGCGGCAGCGAACGUAUCACUUAAAGCGAUUCAGCGGGUUACGAUUGACGGAGCGAAGCGACGUCAAAGCGUAUACAAAGUCGAGUCGGUUUAAGGAUACGUUCGUUGGGUAGGGGAGCGUUCUGUAAGCCUGUGAAGGUGGCCUGUGAGGGUUGCUGGAGGUAUCAGAAGUGCGAAUGCUGACAUAAGUAACGAUAAAGCGGGUGAAAAGCCCGCUCGCCGGAAGACCAAGGGUUCCUGUCCAACGUUAAUCGGGGCAGGGUGAGUCGACCCCUAAGGCGAGGCCGAAAGGCGUAGUCGAUGGGAAACGGGUUAAUAUUCCCGUACUUGGUGUUACUGCGAAGGGGGGACGGAGAAGGCUAUGUUGGCCGGGCGACGGUU
rnacentral:rRNA from 1 species